AGACCCGAAACCCGGUGAUCUAGCCAUGGGCAGGUUGAAGGUUGGGUAACACUAACUGGAGGACCGAACCGACUAAUGUUGAAAAAUUAGCGGAUGACCUGUGGCUGGGGGUGAAAGGCCAAUCAAACCGGGAGAUAGCUGGUUCUCCCCGAAAGCUAUUUAGGUAGCGCCUCGUGAAUUCAUCUCCGGGGGUAGAGCACUGUUUCGGCUAGGGGGCCAUCCCGGCUUACCAACCCGAUGCAAACUGCGAAUACCGGAGAAUGUUAUCACGGGAGACACACGGCGGGUGCUAACGUCCGUCGUGAAGAGGGAAACAACCCAGACCGCCAGCUAAGGUCCCAAAGUCAUGGUUAAGUGGGAAACGAUGUGGGAAGGCCCAGACAGCCAGGAUGUUGGCUUAGAAGCAGCCAUCAUUUAAAGAAAGCGUAAUAGCUCACUGGUCGAGUCGGCCUGCGCGGAAGAUGUAACGGGGCUAAACCAUGCACCGAAGCUGCGGCAGCGACGCUUAUGCGUUGUUGGGUAGGGGAGCGUUCUGUAAGCCUGCGAAGGUGGCCUGUGAGGGU
rnacentral:rRNA from 1 species